rnacentral:rRNA from 1 species
GAUGAACGCUGGCGGCGUGCCUAAUACAUGCAAGUCGAGCGAACGGACGAGAAGCUUGCUUCUCUGAUGUUAGCGGCGGACGGGUGAGUAACACGUGGAUAACCUACCUAUAAGACUGGGAUAACUUCGGGAAACCGGAGCUAAUACCGGAUAAUAUUUUGAACCGCAUGGUUCAAAAGUAAAAGACGGUCUUGCUGUCACUUAUAGAUGGAUCCGCGCUGCAUUAGCUAGUUGGUAAGGUAACGGCUUACCAAGGCAACGAUGCAUAGCCGACCUGAGAGGGUGAUCGGCCACACUGGAACUGAGACACGGUCCAGACUACUACGGGAGGCAGCAGUAGGGAAUCUUCCGGAAUGGGCGAAAGCCUGACGGAGCAACGCCGCGUGAGUGAUGAAGGUCUUCGGAUCGUAAAACUCUGUUAUUAGGGAAGAACAUAUGUGUAAGUAACUGUGCACAUCUUGACGGUACCUAAUCAGAAAGCCACGGCUAACUACGUG